CAACUUUUGACAACGGAUCUCUUGGCUCUCGCAACGAUGAAGAACGCAGCGAAAUGCGAUACGUAAUGUGAAUUGCAGAAUUCCGUGAAUCAUCAAAUCUUUGAACGCACAUUGCACUAUCUUUCGGGAUAGUAUGCCUGUUUGAGAAUCUAU
rnacentral:rRNA from 1 species